GGGGAAUAUUGGACAAUGGGGGGAACCCUGAUCCAGCCAUGCCGCGUGUGUGAAGAAGGCCUUAUGGUUGUAAAGCACUUUAAGCGAGGAGGAGGCUCUUUUGGUUAAUACCCAAGAUGAGUGGACGUUACUCGCAGAAUAAGCACCGGCUAACUUCGUGCCAGCAGCCGCGGUAAUACGAAGGGUGCAAGCGUUACUCGGAAUUACUGGGCGUAAAGCGUGCGUAGGUGGUGGUUUAAGUCCGUUGUGAAAGCCCUGGGCUCAACCUGGGAACUGCAUUCGAUACUGGGAAGCUAGAGUAUGGGAGAGGAUGGUAGAAUUCCAGGUGUAGCGGUGAAAUGCGUAGAGAUCUGGAGGAAUACCGAUGGCGAAGGCAGCCAUCUGGCCUAAUACUGACGCUGAGGUACGAAAGCAUGGGGAGCAAACA
rnacentral:rRNA from 1 species